GCCGCCGGCGCCUGACGGUCGGGCUCCUGACUUUUAAUCAGGACUGCGGAGGUUCGACUCCUCUCGGCGGCA
rnacentral:tRNA from 1 species